GUUAAUCUAUGUGUAGGGAUCCUCUUGUGGAUGAGUUUUGGGUUCUUCUUGGUUAUUGUAUAUUCACGAUGGCACUAUAUUUGCAUUUUGCAACUUCAGUCAUUCAUGAGAUCACUACUGCACUUGGAAUCUACUGCUUCAGGAUUACGCGCAAAGAAGCUUGAAGGAAACAUUUAAAAAGAAAAACAAAUCUUAAGGUAGGAUAAUGCAGAUCACAACACGAAUCUGAAUAUUUUUGUACUGAAACUAAACGAUUGAUCGUAAUGUUUUUGGAAAAUGUUUUUAUUUUGUUUGUUUUUCUUGUUUGCUCAAAAUAGUUUAUUCAUGUAGAACCUUUUUUGCAAUGUUUCUAAAAAAGCAGGAUUUUUAUAUGAUUAUUAUUUGAUGAA